UACGUAGGAGACGAGCGUUGUCCGGAAUUACUGGGCGUAAAGCGCGUGUAGGCGGUUGAGCAAGUCUGCUGUGAAAGCUCCUGGCUUAACCGGGAGUGGUCGGUGGAAACUGCUCGUCUGGAGGACGGUAGAGGCUGGUGGAAUUCCCGGUGUAGUGGUGAAAUGCGUAGAGAUCGGGAGGAACACCUGUGGCGAAGGCGGCCAGCUGGGCCGGACCUGACGCUGAGACGCGAAGGCGUGGGGAGCGAACGGG
rnacentral:rRNA from 1 species